CCUACGUGUGGCUGCAGUGGGGGAUAUUGCACAAUGGAGGAAACUAUGAUGCAUCGCCGCCGCGUGAGGGAAGACGGUCUUCGGAUUGUAAACCUCUGUCUUUGGGGAAGAAAAUGACGGUACCCAAAGAGGAAGAUCAGGCUAACUACGUGCCAGCAGCCGCGGUAAUACGUAGGGAGAGAGCGUUGUCCGGAAUUACUGGGUGUAAAGGGAGCGGAGGCGGGCGAGAAAGUUGAAGUGUAAAUCGACCGGCUUAACUGGUAGCUGCGUUCAAGACUUCUUGUCUUGAGUGAAGGAGAGGCAGGCGGAAUUCCUAGUGUAGCGGUGAAAUGCGUAGAUAUUAGGAGGAACACCAGUGGCGAAGGCGGCCUGCUGGGCUUUAACUGACGCUGAGGCUCGAAAGCGUGGGGAGCAAACAGGAUUAGAUACCCCGGUAGUC
rnacentral:rRNA from 1 species